rnacentral:misc_RNA from 1 species
GAUGAAGAACGUAGCGAAAUGCGAUAAGUAAUGUGAAUUGCAGAAUUCAGUGAAUCAUCGAAUCUUUGAACGCACAUUGCGCCCGCCAGUAUUCUGGCGGGCAUGCCUGUCUGAGCGUCAUUUCAACCCUCAUGCCCCUAGGGCGUGGUGUUGGGGAUCGGCCAAAGCCCGCGAGGGACGGCCGGCCCCUAAAUCUAGUGGCGGACCCGUCGUGGCCUCCUCUGCGAAGUAGUGAUAUUCCGCUUCGGAGAGCGACGAGCCCCUGCCGUUAAACCCCCAACUUUCCAAGGUUGACCUCAGAUCAGGUAGGAAUACCCGCUGAACUUAAGCAUAUCAAUAAGCGGAGGA